UGAAAUGUGCUCGGCCUGUCCAAUUCCCCCAACAAGCACAACUGGCUGUACCUGAAGGCCCGGCCCUUCCCUGAUGGAGUAGCUGAGGACACCGACAAGGGUGAAGUAUCUGCUUGCCAGGAGCUCAAGGCUCGUGCAUGCUAUCUGGCUGAAAAGUAUGAGUGGGAUGUCACUGAAGCCUGAAAGAUCUGGUGUUUCUGGCCUGCUGGCACUGGCCCCAACAUUCUCACUGACACCACCAAGGGUGUGCAGUACCUGAAUGAGAUCAAGGACAUUGUGGUGGCUGGCUUCCAGUGGACCACUAAGGAGGGUGCGUUCUGCGAGGAGAACAUGCAUGGUGUGUGUUUUUACUUUCACAAUGUGACCCUGUAUGCUAAUGCCAUCCACCGAGGUGGUUGCCAGAUCAUCCCUACCGCCCGUCGCUGCCUCUAUGCCAGUGUGUUGACUGCACAGCCCUGCCUUAUGGAGCCCAUCUACCUGGUGGAGAUCCAGUGUCCUGAGCAAGUUAUGGGUGGCAUCUAUGGUGUCCUGAACAGGAAACAUGGUCAUGUGUUUGAGGAGUCCCAGGUAGCUGCCCCCCACCCCAUGUUUGUGGUCAAGGCCUACCUGCCUGUCAACGAGUCCUUUGGUUUCACAGCUGAGCUGUGCUUCACCACCACUGGCCAGGCCUUCCGGCAACAUGUGUUUGACUACUGGCAGAUCCUGCCUGGGGACCCUUUUGAAAACAGCAGCUGUCCCAGCCAACUGGUGGCUGAGACCCACAAGCGUGAAGGCCUCAAAGAGGGCAUCCCAUCGCUAGACAACUUCCUGGACAAACUGUAGGCGGCCUGGUACUGCCAACACUGCACGGUGCCUGCCCAUCAGAAGACACCUUGAGACUGUCCCCAUAGUGCUUCCCGGAGGUUGCUGGGGCUACCCUGCCAUCACUCAGCACUAACACUUGAUGCUGAUUCUAUUUAUUUCAGAAUUCCAAGGCAGUGGAGUCUCCUAUGCAGGCUGGACUGGUGGGCCAUGGGGUGGGCGGGACACAGCUCUAUCAUUUUCAGAGGGAAAUGCUGAGAUGUCAAAUGUCUAAAUAAAUGCAUUCA